UACGGAGGGUGCAAGCGUUAUUCGGAAUCACUGGGCGUAAAGCGCGCGUAGGUGGUUUAGUAAGUCUGAUGUGAAAGCCCACGACUCAAUCGUGGAAGUGCAUUGGAUACUGCUAAACUAGAGUAUAGGAGAGGAGAACGGAAUUCCUGGUGUAGAGGUGAAAUUCGUAGAUAUCAGGAGGAACAACGGAGGCGAAGGCGGUUCUCUGGACUAUAACUGACACUGAGGCGCGAAAGCGUGGGUAGCAAACAGG
rnacentral:misc_RNA from 1 species